CUGCCUGGAUCACAUGACCUGUGGGCUUCCCUUUGUCAUCCUAUGCCUGGAGAUCGCAGAGAGGCAGGGACAGCAAAGGGGUGCUCAGCUGUUGUCUCUAAC
rnacentral:pre_miRNA from 11 species